CUGGUCUCUGGUCCCCAUUCAUAAAUCAUACCUGUGGUUUUGAAUGGCUUUUUUGUCUCCGCAGUGGUGCUGUUACUAGUCCGUGCUAAAUCUCUGAAUGAGUGCUUCACUCACUGGCACGCAUUCUGAAAUAAAAGAGAUCGAUAGGGGAUCUGUGCAUCUCCCUCCAUGCUGAAAGAGGGAUGAUCCUCGCCGAUGGCUUUUCUUUGAAAAUUCAUGGCUGUGUUUUCUUCCUGACCAACCCGUUUGAGCUCAACAAGGACCCGCGCUGCUCAGAGCAAUGGAAAACCUCGCUCGGUGGUGUAGAUUAUGUGACGUCUCCAACCACCUCAGACUUUUUGAUGAUCCUGAAGCGUCAAAUCAAGUUGAGAGAUCCCAUUUCAAUCAGAAAGCGGAAGUCAAAUGGCUUACUAACGCUGCUUCAUGUUGACUUUAAAGAAGAAGAGCUCGAGAACCACAUAAUGUUUCCAAGAAUGGCUAAAUAAUAUUUCCACAGGCAGAUUCCUCUAAGAAGUGGAUGCACCCAAUGUGGGCAGAAGAUCCCUAAAUAGAAACUCUUAUGAAAGGCAACAUCAAAUAGUGGUUUGGGCUGCAAAAUGCCUGAUCUAUCAUACCACCUCAGACUUAAACGCUCGCACAGAUUUUCUGUUUUCACGUGCCAAAACUAUCAUAAAAAUGGACUUUUUCCAAACCCUUCCAAGGCAGUGUCAGGUAAAUCUUUUCCGCUUGUAGAAAGAUGUUUCAUUGUAAAUUUAGAUGGUGUUUCUUACAAGCAGUCAGGUGACUGGAAAGCCUUUCUCCAACGGAUUGCACCCACGGGGCUUCUGGUUCCUAGGGUCUCGCCGUCAUGUUUUAAGGGCCCGUCGGUCUUGCAGUGCCUUUUGUUUGUUCCAUUUUAGGCAGUGGAAGCAUUAGAGAAGAAGAGUGCUGACAGUGGGCAUGCCAACACAGUCCUACAGCUUCCAUAAACAAAACCUUCGGAUUAGUCAGGCUGUAUUUAACUGGCAUCAGCGGAUCAUCAAAGUGAACGCCAAGGAUCCCUGCAACAAUAAAACAUACGUGACGCUCCUUCA
ensembl:lncRNA